GGGACUUCAACUGUUUUUCUUAAAUUGACACAGAUUCAAAUUUCGAGUUUUUGAAGGUUUUCUGCUCAGAUUCAGAAAAAUACCAAAAAGAAAAGUUGUUGGGAAAGUUGAGUUCUACAACUCUUAGUUGGACAGAUUUUUAAAUUCUUAAUCAAAAAUUUGAGUUAUGCUUUAAACAGCGGUUAAGCUUGUGAGGGCAAAAGUGUCUUUUUACUUGUCUUCUCAACUGCCA
rnacentral:lncRNA from 1 species